UACGUAGGGUGCAAGCGUUGUCCGGAAUUAUUGGGCGUAAAGAGCUCGUAGGCGGUUUGUUGCGUCGGCUGUGAAAUCCCGAGGCUCAACCUCGGGUCUGCAGUCGAUACGAGCAAACUAGAGUGUUGCAGGGGAGACUGGAAUUCCUGGUGUAGCGGUGAAAUGCGCAGAUAUCAGGAGGAACACCGGUGGCGAAGGCGGAUCUCUGGACAGCUACUGACACUGAGGCACGAAGGCCAGGGGAGCAAACGGG
rnacentral:rRNA from 1 species